rnacentral:tRNA from 4 species
GCGGGAGUAGUUCAGUGGUAGAACAUUUCCUUGCCAAGGAAAGGGUCGAGAGUUCGAGUCUCUUCUCCCGCU